AUUUGUUUGCAUAGUAAAUGGCUUGUUUACCUUUACAACUUUAGAAAAUCUUGCUUUGCAGUCUGCCUGGAGCUGAUACUUAUAAUCAUUAACAAUUCUGGUUUCUAAGAAAGAUGGUAAUAUGAAUAUUAAAAAAUUUUAGAAUCAGAUGCAAAAUAUCCAAUGUAUUCUCUACAAUUGCUUUUUGUUGCCAUCUGUGCCACUUGCCUUUCUUACUAUCUUCAGUAGAAUUCACUUUUCAUCAGCAGACACUGAGUCAUAGGACAUUCUGUAUCAAUUUUGUGUUGUUCCUGGACAUUCACAGAUAGAUGAAUUAUGUUCAGAAUCAAUAAAACCAAAAUUAUUUUCAUUGAUGGCAUUUUCACACGGCAUUUAUGUUGUGCAGAGAUUCAGGUAAAAUGCCAGCGAUGCACUUUUAAUGGACAGGGGUCCGUGUGCACGGGAGAGUCUGGGCCACCAUUCAGCAGGUGGGGACGCCAUCCCUUGGUCCAGGUCUGAUGGGGAGAUGCGCAGAAGGAUGUGUGGCAUGGGAGAGUUUGGGCCACCAUUCAGCAGGUGGGGACGCCAUCCCUUGGUCCAGGUCUGAUGGGGAGAUGCGCAGAAGGAUGUGUGUGCUUGGCACAGCAGAGGGUAACACUCCCGAGUCCACUCAUAACAUGCCAGGUGGGGACGCCAUCCCUUGGUCCAGGUCUAAUGGGGGAGAUGCAC
ensembl:lncRNA